rnacentral:rRNA from 1 species
UACAGAGGGGGCAAGCGUUAUUCGGAAUUAUUGGGCGUAAAGGGCGCGUAGGCGGCCUGGCAAGUGGAAGGUGAAAUCCCUCGGCUUAACCGAGGAACUGCCUCCCAAACUGCUUGGCUUGAGACCGGGAGAGGUGAGUGGAAUUCCCAGUGUAGCGGUGAAAUGCGUAGAUAUUGGGAGGAACACCAGUGGCGAAGGCGGCUCACUGGACCGGUACUGACACUCAGGGACGACAGCGUGGGGAGCGAACCGG